rnacentral:lncRNA from 1 species
AUGAACUCUUUGAGCUAUAAGGCUUUUUCUACCUUAAAAUUAAAACACAUUCAUCUUGCCUUAAUUUCAAUACCAAAAAUGAAGUCAUAGCUAGAGUCUUCAACUUCUUUGACCCUUAGCAUCAUCUAAUUUCAUUUUCCGCUGUUGAUGUGAUCAGUCUCAUUCUGCUUGCGCUUAUUAGAUAUCUGAAUAACAAAUAUCCAAC